rnacentral:rRNA from 1 species
ACGCUGUGCGGCGUGCCUAUUACAUGCAAGUCGAGCGCGGGAAGCAAGCAGAUCUCCUUCGGGAGUGACGCUUGUGGAACGAGCGGCGGACGGGUGAGUAACACGUGGGCAACCUACCUGUAAGACUGGGAUAACUCCGGGAAACCGGGGCUAAUACCGGAUGAAACAAAGCGUCGCAUGACGCAAUGUUAAAAGGCGGCAUAUGCUGUCACUUACAGAUGGGCCCGCGGCGCAUUAGCUAGUUGGUGAGGUAAAGGCUCACCAAGGCAACGAUGCGUAGCCGACCUGAGAGGGUGAUCGGCAGGCACUGGGACUGAAACACGGCCCAUACUCCUACGGGAGGCAGCAGUAGGGAAUCUUCCGCAAUGGACGAAGGUCUGACGGAGCAACGCCGC